ensembl:lncRNA
GCCAUUUUGUCCGAGCUUCGAGGACCAGGACAAUUGUUUGGAUAUCGGACCAUGUGGCAAGUUCUCAAACAAAAACACAAGCUGCGUGUCAAGCGUGAUGUAGUUAUGAGGCUGUUGAGACAACUAAAUCCUCAAGGAAUCGCUUUGAGAACUCGAAGGAGGUUCACAAGACGCACGUAUCACUCCAUGGGGCCCAAUUACAUAUGGCAUGUAGAUGGCUAUGAUAAACUGAAACCCUUUGGCUUGGCCCUGUCAGGAUGUAUAGAUGGCUUUUCAAGAAGACUGAUGUGGCUUGUGUGUGGAGCAACAAACAACAACCCAGCUGUUAUAGCUCACAAUUAUAUAAACUGUGUAAAGAGUCUUGGUGUGAUACCAAUGAGAUUACGAACAGACUUCGGGACUGAGAAUGGGACUAUGGCAGCAAUACAGUGUACCCUCCGUCACACGCACACGGACUAUUAUGCUGGAUCGUCAAGCCACAGUUAUGGAUCAUCUACUGGGAAUCAGCGCAUCGAGUCAUGGUGGUCUUAUUUCAGAAGAGGAAGGUCUCAGUUUUGGAUGGACUUUUUUGGAGACCUAAGAGACUCUGGAAACUUCAAUGGAAGCCACGAACACCAAUGCUUGCUGAGAUUCUGCUUCAGAGGGGUUCUACAGAAAGACCUGGAUGAAUGCAAAGACCUCUGGAACAAACACAGGAUCCGGCCAAGCAGACUUGCAUCGUGUCCAGGGGGGAUUCCAAACGAACUCUAUCUCUUGCCUCACAGAUAUGGUUCAAGAGACUGUGGAUUUGCUGUUGAGGAGAGGGAACUGGAUGUGUUUCCCGAGGAGGGGCUACCGGUUGGAUUGUGUGGUGAUCCAAACAUUGAGGAAUAUUUACAACAGGCUGUACAACAAAACACACUGCAGCAGCCACAAGACUGGGAAUCGGCCACAGAACUGUAUUUGGCCCUGAAGGACAUAGCUGGGUUUUAGAUACCAACUGAACUUCAGUUUGUAAUGACAUUUGUCAGAGUUACUCUGACGAAGACACACACGGUGUCGAAACGUUAGUUUCUUUUCUUUUUUGCACCUAAUAAAACCUUUGGACUUACUUGAGUGCUCCAGCCCUUCUGUUUUUCCUUCAUUUUUUAAUGUUAGUAGUGUUUCCUUUCCCUCUUGCUAAAUUGAAUAUAAUAUUGUUCAUAAUAUACAGCAACUGGCAUGGAUUUAAAUAUUAACAUUUAACCACAAGGAAACAUUUAAAAUUUUCUUUAAUAAAACCAUUUACAAAUAGUGUCCAGCAUUUCUGUCACUUUUCCAA